rnacentral:rRNA from 1 species
GACGAAGGACCCAAGCGUUAUCCGGAUUCAUUGGGUUUAAAGGGUGCGUAGGCGGGUUGAUAAGUCAGUGGUGGAAGCCCAACGCUUAACGUUGGAACUGCCAUUGAUACUGUCGAUCUUGAAUGUGUUUGAUGUGGGCGGAAUAUGACAUGUAGCGGUGAAAUGCUUAGAUAUGUCAUAGAACACCGAUUGCGAAGGCAGCUCACAAAGCCACUAUUGACGCUGAGGCACGAAAGCGUGGGGAUCAAACAGG